rfam:Triticum aestivum genome assembly, contig: Triticum_aestivum_CS42_TGACv1_scaffold_321323_4BL
CACUUACUCCCUCCAUCCAAAAAUACUUGUCAUCAAAAUGGAUAAAAAGGGAUAUAUCUAUAACUAAAAUAUGUCUAGAUACAUCUCCUUUUAUUCAUUUUGAUGACAAGUAUUUCGGGACGGAGGUAGUGUCGG